AGAGCAGUCUGGCUGUGGUAACCUCGACGGCUUCUUGGUAGACCUGGUGUGGUGGCACAUAACCCAAAGUGCAGCACUUGAGAAGCGGAGGCAGGGGUGUUCCCUGGAGCGAGAGGUCAAUGAUCUGGUCAGAGGAGAGUAUAUCUGGAGACAGAAUCCUUUCAUUCUCCUGGAAUUCAAGAUUUUUCUAUUAAAGCAAGUCAAA
rnacentral:lncRNA from 1 species